AUCGUCAGAAUGUGCGCGCGAGCGAUGCAAUUUUCAAACGUCGCAUGCUUCAUGAUUCCGUAAACACAUCGUCAUUAAUGUCUGUAAAACGUACAGUGAAUUUUAAAAUGAAACAAAUGAACUAAAGACUGCUGAAUCCUAUGGCAAAGACAGUGAAUAUUCUGAAGACGUCAUCGUAUUCAUUGGAGAAGACGCCUUACGAAUAUUUCGAUAAAAUUGUGCAAAGCAUUUUCAUCAAAAGUGAAUUCUGAGCGCCGACGACGACGUUGAUAACGUUGAUCAACAAGAAUUAGACAGUGUUUUAUGUACUGAAGAAGUUGCAACCUAUUGUUGAAAUUCAUAUUCCAUUCGAAUCCUACAGUGGCAGUUCGGCCCUACGAACGAACGAUUUAUCUUUGUAUCGAGGGAGUAAAUAUCAAUAUACUGUCCUGUUGAAGUGCUAGAAAUCCUACGGAGGUACAAGGUUCGCAAAAACAUUUGGUGGAAAUAAGUAGUUUGACUUAUCUUUGAAUCGAGACAGUAAAUAUCAAUAUACUGUCCUGUUGA